CCUCCUUUCUGGAGAUGACGAGUAAAGCUCACUCUUUUAGAGCUCGAGCCGGAAAGUCUCUCAGAAGUCUACCCGCUCAGUACACUCAAAAUCUUGGUUUUUUAUAAAAUGGCCGGUGCCAGAGCUUUAGCUGGUUUCGGUCACGCUGUUUGACAACAGAGGUUGAGAGAGAAGUGAGAGCCUUAGGUAUGGCCCUGACUGAUUACUUUUUGUCCGGUUCAGGUGCCUGUCUACAAAAGAAGUAUGAAUUAGCUGUGACGGCUUUUUGGUGAAGAGACUGGAUAGGAAACGAGAGAAAAACUCGUUUCUUUCGCAUCAGGAAGACUGAGCGCCUCGGCGCUCGACGUUCCGGAUGGGAAUUCUGGUCAAGUAGUUAAGUGCGCAGUGGUGGAUGCCUAGGCACGUGUCGGCGAUGAAGGACGUGGCAAGCUGCGAUAAGCCUCGGGGAGCUGCAAGCAAGCUUAGAUCCGGGGAUUUCCGAAUGGGGAAACCAAGGGCGAA
rnacentral:misc_RNA from 1 species